rnacentral:pre_miRNA from 1 species
AACAUUCAUUGCUGUCAGUGGGUGUGAGUAUGGUCUACCCAGGGAGCACUGAAUGCACA